AUCAAUUUUACAAAAUCGUAACAUGAUCUGUGAUGGUUUUGUUUAGAUCAAAUGGAUUAGUCUAGGUGCUGACCCAUAUUUGGGUUUUCGCAAAUGCUCAAGACUGAUUAUUUAACCCACAUUGUUUUUGCUAAGCUUGCUUAGUUGUCAUGUAUCUAUUUUCCAUUUGUUCCUUUACCAUUUUGUUCCAGUACCCAUCUUCUAUUAUCAAUCAUGGUUAUAGUCCUCAUUUCUUGAUUCCCAAUGGAAGAUUGUUGGGAACGCCAACUGAA
rnacentral:misc_RNA from 1 species